rnacentral:rRNA from 1 species
GACGAACGCUGGCGGCGUGCUUAACACAUGCAAGUCGAACGGAAAGGCCCUGCUUUUGUGGGGUGCUCGAGUGGCGAACGUGUGAGUAACACGUGAGUAUCCUGCCCUGUACUUUGGGAUAACUUCAGGAAACUGGGGCUAAUACCUGAUAGGAGCGCCUGCUGCAUGGUGGGGGUUGGAAAGUUUCGGCGGGUGUGGAUGGACUCGCGGCUUAUCAGCUUGUUGGGGGGGUAGUGGCUUACCAAGGCUUUGACGGGUAGGCCGCCUGGGAGGGUGACCGGCCACAUUGGGCCUGAGGGACGGCCCAGACUGCUAUGGGGGGCAACAGGGGGGAAUAUUGCCCAACGGGGGGGAGUCUGUUGAGGAGAUCCCCGGUGCGGGAAGCCCGGCUUCGGGGGGGAAACCGCUUUCAGCUGUGACCUAGCGGUUGUGACGUUAAUAGGUGAAGAAGCACCGGCUAACUUCGUG